rnacentral:rRNA from 1 species
GAAGGACGUAGUAGCUUGCGAUAAGCUGCGGGGAGCUAGCAAACAAGCUUUGAUCCGCAGAUUUCCGAAUGGGGAAACCCGGCCUUUACAGGUCAUUGCAUACUGAAUACAUAGGUAUGCAAAGCGAACGCGGCGAACUGAAACAUCUAAGUAGCUGCAGGAAAAUAAAUCAACCGAGAUUCCCAAAGUAGUGGCGAGCGAAAUGGGAUGAGCCUG